rnacentral:rRNA from 1 species
CAGAGGUCCCAAGCGUUGUUCGGAUUCACUGGGCGUAAAGGGUGCGUAGGUGGCGGGGUAAGUCGGAUGUGAAAUCUCGGAGCUCAACUCCGAAAUGGCAUUGGAAACUACCCUGCUAGAGGGUCGGAGGGGGGACUGGAAUACUUGGUGUAGCAGUGAAAUGCGUAGAUAUCAAGUGGAACACCAGUGGCGAAGGCGAGUCCCUGGACGACUCCUGACACUGAGGCACGAAAGCUAGGGGAGCAAACAGGAUUAGAUACCCUGGUAGUCCUAGCCGUAAACGGUGCACGUUUGCUGUAAAAGGAAUCGACCCCUUUUGUGGCGUAGCCAACGCGUUAAACGUGCCGCCUGGGAAGUACGGUCGCAAGAUUA